rnacentral:rRNA from 1 species
AUGAACGCUAGCGGCAGGCUUAACACAUGCAAGUCGAGGGGUAUUUAUCUUCGGAUAGAGAGACCGGCGCACGGGUGCGUAACGCGUAUGCAAUCUACCUUUUACAGAGGGAUAGCCCAGAGAAAUUUGGAUUAAUACCUCAUAGUAUAUAGACUCGGCAUCGAGAUUAUAUUAAAGUCACAACGGUAAAAGAUGAGCAUGCGUCCCAUUAGCUAGUUGGUAAGGUAACGGCUUACCAAGGCUACGAUGGGUAGGGGUCCUGAGAGGGAGAUCCCCCACACUGGUACUGAGACACGGACCAGACUCCUACGGGAGGCAGCAGUGAGGAAUAUUGGACAAUGGGCGCAAGCCUGAUCCAGCCAUGCCGCGUGCAGGAUGACGGUCCUAUGGAUGGUAAACUGCUUUUAUACGAGAAGAAACACUGCUACGUGUAGCAGCUUGACGGUAUCGUAAGAAUAAGGAUCGGCUAACUCCGUG